ACGGCUCAGUAACACGUGGACAAUCUGCCCUUGGGUCUGGGAUAACUCCGGGAAACUGGAGAUAAUACCAGAUAGGUCAUAGAUGCUGGAAUGCUCUAUAGCCCAAAGCUCCGGCGCCCAAGGAUGAGUCUGCGGCCUAUCAGGUUGUAGUGGGCGUAAUGGACCCACUAGCCUACGACGGGUACGGGUUGUGAGAGCAAGAGCCCGGAGAUGGAUUCUGAGACAUGAAUCCAGGCCCUACGGGGCGCAGCAGGCGCGAAACCUUUACAAUGCGCGCAAGCGCGAUAAGGGGACCUCGAGUGUUCCUACCUAGUAGGAACUGUCCAGUUGUCUAAAAAACAACUGUUAGCAAGAGCCGGGCAAGACCGGUGCCAGCCGCCGCGGUAACACCGGCGGCUCGAGUGGUGACCGCUUUUAUUGGGUCUAAAGGGUCUGUAGCCGGUCUAACAAGUUCUUUGGAAAAUCUGGUCGCUUAACGAUCAGGCUGCUAGGGGAUACUGUUAGACUUGGGACCGGGAGAGGCUAGAGGUACUUUAGGGGUAGGGGUGAAAUCCUGUGAUCCUUAAAGGACCACCAGUGGCGAAGGCGUCUAGCUAGAACGGAUCCGACGGUGAGGGACGAAAGCUGGGGGCACGAACCGGAUUAGAUACCCGGGUAGUCCCAGCCGUAAACGAUGCGAGCUAGGUGUCAGUUUUACUGCGAGUAAAAUUGGUGCCGUAGGGAAGCCGUGAAGCUCGCCACCUGGGAAGUACGGCCGCAAGGCUGAAACUUAAAGGAAUUGGCGGGGGAGCACUACAACGGGUGGAGCCUGCGGUUUAAUUGGAUUCAACGCCGG
rnacentral:rRNA from 1 species